rnacentral:rRNA from 1 species
ACAGAAGGGAGCUUGCUCCCGGAUGUUAGCGGCGGACGGGUGAGUAACACGUGGGUAACCUGCCUGUAAGACUGGGAUAACUCCGGGAAACCGGAGCUAAUACCGGAUAGUUCCUUGAACCGCAUGGUUCAAGGAUGAAAGACGGUUUCGGCUGUCACUUACAGAUGGACCCGCGGCGCAUUAGCUAGUUGGUGGGGUAAUGNGCUCACCAAGGCGACGAUGCGUAGCCGACCUGANAGGGUGAUCGGCCA